AGAAUUGUAUGCUUUUAGAAGUACGAUGGUCUUCAUGCUAUAGUCAUUUUCAAUACUGAGACUUUUGAAUCGAUGAUCGACUUCAUUAAACUUGAUCUAAAAUAUUUGAACUAUCUAGAAAAUAAAUUUUACAAUUUUUAAGUAUUAUUUACCUAAUGAUCAAAAUGGCCCAAAAUCAACAAUUUUAAUAAUUAUAGUGAGCCAUUUGCAAGUUUAACUACGGUAUAGAAAAUCCAAACCACGUAAAAUUUUGAUAAAAAAUUCUUUACACUAUAUAAAACCAGAUCAAUAUUUUUUAUUUAAAAUUUUACUGUCAUAUCAUCACUUUUUGUGAGAUUUUUAUUUUUCAACCGUAGAUUUUGAUAUCGAAAAAUCACACAAAUUUAUUUUUUAGAUACUUCCAAUAUUCUAAAUCAAAUCUAUUGGAGCCGAUCGUCAAUUCAGAAGUCCAAACAUCGAAAAUAACUUGAUAGCACGGAUGCCACCAUGCUUCUCAAAGCACAUAUGUCGGACACACUCUCUUUCUCUCUCUCUCUCUCUCUCUCUCUCUAUAUAUAUAUAUAUAAUAUAUAAAUAAACAAGUAGUCUCUCUCUCUAGGUCGUGGUUAUUAUACUAUUAUGAGUAUUGGAGCCCUCGUACUCAUAAGCUGUUUUCAAUGAUGGAGCUUCCGAAUUGACGAUCCACUCCGUUAAAUAUGAUCUAGAGUAUUUGAAACUUCUAGAAAAUAAAUUUCGUAAAUUUUCAAAAUCAUAAUAAAGUCCAUCAAGUGGGCAUAAAAUGAACGGUCAAAAUCGAACGAUGUCCUAAAAAAGGAUGAUCGGAUCCUUCAAUUCAAGAUCGGAGUUAUUGAUCUUUAUCUAUGUAGUGAAUAGAAUUUUCUAUCAAAAAUUCAACAAAUUCUGAUUCUUUUAUACCGUUAAACUAGCAAGUAUCCCAUACCGGCCAUUAAAAAUUGUCAAAUUUGUGAUCUCUCGAUCGUAAGGUAAAUGAUAUCGAAAAUUUAUAAAAUUUGAUUUCUGAAAGUUUUAAAUACUGUAAAUAACGUUUAACGGUGUGGAUCGUCGAUUCGGAAGCUCUAUCAUCGAAAACAACUUAUGAGUACGAGGGCGAUCGUACUCAUAAUAGGAUAGUAGCCGGACCCCCUCCCUCUCUCUAUAUAUAUAUAUAAUAUAUAUAAAUAAACAUGUAGACCCACAUCUC
rnacentral:lncRNA from 1 species